rnacentral:rRNA from 1 species
AUUGAACGCUGGCGGCAUGCCUUACUCAUGCAAGUCGAACGGCAGCACGGGUGCUUGCACCUGGUGGCGAGUGGCGAACGGGUGAGUAAUACAUCGGAACAUGUCCUGUAGUGGGGGAUAGCCCGGCGAAAGCCGGAUUAAUACCGCAUACGAUCUACGGAUGAAAGCGGGGGACCUUCGGGCCUCGCGCUAUAGGGUUGGCCGAUGGCUGAUUAGCUAGUUGGUGGGGUAAAGGCCUACCAAGGCGACGAUCAGUAGCUGGUCUGAGAGGACGACCAGCCACACUGGGACUGAGACACGGCCCAGACUCCUACGGGAGGCAGCAGUGGGGAAUUUUGGACAAUGGGCGAAAGCCUGAUCCAGCAAUGCCGCGUGUGUGAAGAAGGCCUUCGGGUUGUAAAGCACUUUUGUCCGGAAAGAAAUCCUUGGCCCUAAUACGGUCGGGGGAUGACGGUACCGGAAGAAUAAGCACCGGCUAACUACGUG